rnacentral:rRNA from 1 species
GACAGAGGGUGCAAACGUUGUUCGGAAUUACUGGGCGUAAAGCGCGUGUAGGCGGCUCGGCAAGUCGGGUGUGAAAGCCCUGGGCUUAACCUAGGAAGUGCACUCGAAACUGCCAAGCUUGAGUUCUGGAGAGGAAGGCGGAAUUCUCGGUGUAGAGGUGAAAUUCGUAGAUAUUGGGAAGAACACCUGCGGUGUAGACGGCUUACUGGACCAUAACUGACGCUGAGGCACGAAAGCGUGGGUAGCAAACAGG